ACGGGUGAGUAACGCGUGAGAAUUUGGCUUCAGGUCGGGGACAACCACUGGAAACGGUGGCUAAUACCGGAUAUGCCGGGAGGUGAAAGGCUUGCUGCCUGAAGAUAAGCUCGCGUCUGAUUAGCUAGUUGGUGGGGUAAGAGCCUACCAAGGCGACGAUCAGUAGCUGGUCUGAGAGGAUGAUCAGCCACACUGGGACUGAGACACGGCCCAGACUCCUACGGGAGGCAGCAGUGGGGAAUUUUCCGCAAUGGGCGAAAGCCUGACGGAGCAAUACCGCGUGAGGGAGGAAGGCUCUUGGGUCGUAAACCUCUUUUCUCAGGGAAGAAGAAAGUGACGGUACCUGAGGAAUAAGCAUCGGCUAACUCCGUGCCAGCAGCCGCGGUAAUACGGAGGAUGCAAGCGUUAUCCGGAAUGAUUGGGCGUAAAGGGUCCGCAGGUGGUACUGUAAGUCUGCUGUUAAAGAGUCUAGCUCAACUAGAUAAAAGCGGUGGAAACUACAGAACUAGAGUGCGUUCGGGGCAGAAGGAAUUCCUGGUGU
rnacentral:rRNA from 1 species